ensembl:lncRNA
AUGCCACCACACCCGGAUAAUUUUUAUAUUUUUAGUAGAGACAGGGUUUCACCACAUUGGUCAGGCUGGCCUCCAAUUCCUGACUUCGUGAUCUGCCUGCCUCAGCCUCCUAAAGUGCUGGGAUUACAGGAGCGGGCCAGCAGUGCUGGGGGACCCGGCGCACCCUCUGCAGCUGUUGGCCCAGGUGCUAGGCCCCUCACUGUCCGGGGCAGGCAGCACCGAGGGAGCCCGUGCCCACCUGGAACUCGUGCUGGCUGGCGAGCACCACAUGCAGCCCCAGUUCCCACCCGCGCCUCUCCUUCCACACCUCCCCGUAAGCAGAUGGAGCCAGCUCCAGCCUCAGCCAGCCUAGAGAGGGGCUCCCACAGUGCAGUGGUGGGCUGAAGAGCUCCUCAAGUGCGGCCAAAGUGGACGCCGAGGUUGAGGAGGUGCCGAGAGCGAGUGAGGGCUGCUAGUACGUUGUCACCUCUCACCCCCACCUCAGCCUCCAAAAGUGUUGGAAUUACAGAUGUGAGCCACCACACCUGGCCUGGGGUUUUCUGUAGAUAUAAGUUUUCAAUUUAUAUGGACAAGUAUCAAAUAUUUUAAUUGUUUAAAAAACUGCCAAACUGUCUUCAAAAGUGGCUGUACCAUUUUGAAAUCCCACCAGCAAUGAAUGAGAAUUCUUGUUGUUCCACAUCAGCACCAGCAUCUGGCAUUGUCAGUGUUCUGAAUUUUGGCUAUUCUGAUAGGUGUAUAGUGGUAUCUCACUGUUGUUUUAAUUUGCAAUUUUCUAAUGACAUACAUUGAACAUCUUUUCACAUGCUUACUUACCAUCUGUAUAUGUUCUUUGGUGAUGUGUCUGUUCAGAUCUUGUCUAUUUUGUUUUGUGUUGCUGUAACAAUACUUAAGACUGGGUAAGUUAUAAAGAAAAGAGAUUUAGCUCACUGGUCUGCAGGCUGGGAAGUUCAAAAUUGGGUGGUCACAUCUGGUGGCUUCUGGUGAAGCCUCAUGCUGCAUCAAAACAUGGUGGAGAAAUGAAAGGGGAACUAGGCUUGUGUGACAAAGAGCAAAAUACAACAGGCAACCUCCCUAUGACGACCAGCUCUGCAAGGAACUAAUCCAUUCCUGGGAGAACUAACACAGUCUCUCGAGAAAGACAUUAAUCUAUCUUAAUGACCUAAUUACCUCUAAAAUUCACCAUCUCCCAACACCAUCCCAUUGAGGUCUAAGCCUCAACAUGAGUUUUGGUGGGGACAAACUGCACUCUAACCAUAACAGAUCUUUUGUCCAUUUUUAAAUCAAGUUAUUCAUUUUAUUCUGGUUUAGUUUUAAGAAUUCUUUGUAUAUUGGGGAUAAUAGUCCCUUAUCAGAUGUGUCCUUUGCAAAUAUUUUCUUCAAAUCUGUGGUUUGUCUUGUCUUUUCCCUUGACAUUGUCUUUUGCAGAGAAAAAAACAAAACAGAAAAAAAAAAAGUUUUUCAUUUUAAUGAAGUCCAGCUUAAAAAUUAUUUCUUUUGCGAAUUGUGCCUUUGGUGUUUUACCUAAAAUGUCACCACUAUAUUCAAGGUCAUCUAGUUUUUUUGCUAAGUUAUCUUCUAGGAGUUUUGUAGUUUUGUACUUUAUGUCUGCAUUCAUGAUCCAUCCAUUUUGAGUUAAUUUUUGUGAAGGUGUAAGGUGUGUGUCCAGAUUUUUUUUUUUUUUUUGGCUUGUGGAUGUCCUGUCAUUCCAGUACUGUUUGUUGAAAAGAUUAUCAUUGCUCCAUUGUGUUGUCUUUGCUCUUUUGUCAAAGAUCAGCUGACUAUUUUUAUGUGGAUCUAUUUCUGGGCUUUCUAUUCUAUUCCAUUGAUCUCUUUGUCUAUUCUUUCAUCAGUACUGCACUAUCUUAAUUACUGUAGCUUUGUAGUAAGUCUUGAAGUUAGGGAAUGUCAGUUCUCUUUGUUCUUCUUCCUCUUUUUUUUUUUUUUUGAGAUGGUGUUUCACUAUUGUUGCACAGGCUGUAGUGCAGUGGCGUGAUCUCGCCUCACUGCAACCUCCGCCUCCCAGGUUCAAGGAAUUCUCCUGCCUCAGCCUCCUAAGUAGCUGGAAUUACAGGCAUGUGCCACUAUGCCUGGCUAAUUUUUGUACUUUUAGUAGAGACGAGGUGUCACUCUGUUGAACAGGCUGGUUUUGAACUCCUGACCUCAGGUGAUCCACCCCCCUCGAUCUCCCAAAGUGUUGGGAUUACAGGCAUGAACCACCGUACUCAGCCUGCUCUUCUCUUUUAAUAUUACAUUUGCUAUUCUGGUUUCAUUUUUUGUUUUGUUUUUUUGCCUCUCUAUGUAAACUUUAGAAUUAAUUUGUCAAUAUCCACAAAAUAACUUGCUGUGAUUUUUAUUGGAAUUGUAUUGAAUCUAUAAAGUUGAAAAGAACAGACGUCCUGAAAAUAUUUAAUCCAUCUUAAUUCUUAAUUUCAUGACCGUGAAUAAUCUUACUAAGUUAAGACUAAGAUGAUCAUGGAAUAUCUCUCCAUUUAUUUAGUUAUUCUAUUUACUUAUUCUUUGAUAUCUUUCAGUAUAAUUUUA